rnacentral:rRNA from 1 species
GAGUAAUGCGUGACCAACCUGCCCCAUGCUCCAGAAUAGCUCUUGGAAACGGGUGGUAAUGCUGGAUGCUCCAACUUGACGCAUGUCUUGUUGGGAAAGUGUUUAGUGGCAUGGGAUGGGGUCGCGUCCUAUCAGCUUGUAGGCGGGGUAAUGGCCCACCUAGGCUUCGACGGGUAGCCGGCCUGAGAGGGCGGACGGCCACAUUGGGACUGAGAUACGGCCCAGACUCCUACGGGAGGCAGCAGCU